rnacentral:rRNA from 1 species
GAAUGCCUACGGGACGCAGCAGUGAGGAAUAUUGGUCAAUGGUCGGGAGACUGAACCAGCCAAGCCGCGUGAGGGAGGAAGGUACAGAGUAUCGUAAACCUCUUUUGUCAGGGAACAAAGACUGGGACGCGUCCCCGGAUGAGUGUACCUGAAGAAAAAGCAUCGGCUAACUACGUGCCAGCAGCCGCGGUAAUACGUAGGGGGCAAGCGUUAUCCGGAUUUACUGGGUGUAAAGGGAGCGUAGACGGCUGAGCAAGUCAGAAGUGAAAGCCCGGGGCUCAACCCCGGGACUGCUUUUGAAACUG